AUACGGAAGGUCCGGGCGUUAUCCGGAUUUAUUGGGUUUAAAGGGAGCGCAGGCGGAGAUGCAAGCGUGACGUCAAAUUUCGGGGCUCAACCCCGUCUCGCGUCGCGAACUGCGUCCCUUGGUUGCGGGAAGGGGAGGCGGAACUCGUGGUGUAGCGGUGAAAUGCAUAGAUAUCACGAAGAACUCCGAUCGCGAAGGCAGCCUUCCGGCCCGUCAACGACGCUCAUGCUCGAAGGUGCGGGUAUCAAACAGGAUUAGAUACCCCGGUAGUCCGCACAGUAAACGAUGGACACCCGCGGUUUGGCCUGUAUGGCUGAGCCGCCAAGCGAAAGCGUUAAGUGUCCCACCUGGGGAGUACGCCGGCAACGGUGAAACUCAAAGGAAUUGACGGGG
rnacentral:rRNA from 1 species